UAGGGAAUCUUCGGCAAUGGACGAAAGUCUGACCGAGCAACGCCGCGUGAGUGAAGAAGGUUUUCGGAUCGUAAAACUCUGUUGUUAGAGAAGAACAAGGGUGAGAGUAACUGUUCACCCCUUGACGGUAUCUAACCAGAAAGCCACGGCUAACUACGCACCAG
rnacentral:rRNA from 1 species